CUGCCCCUUGUCUUUUGCGUACCGUAUGUUUCCUCGGCGGGCUUGCCUGCCGGUUGGACAUUAUCAAACCUUUUUGUAGUUGCAAUCAGCGUCAGAAAACAAAUAAUAAUUACAACUUUCAACAACGGAUCUCUUGGUUCUGGCAUCGAUGAAGAACGCAGCGAAAUGCGAAAAGUAGUGUGAAUUGCAGAAUUCAGUGAAUCAUCGAAUCUUUGAACGCACAUUGCGCCCCUUGGUAUUCCAUGGGGCAUGCCUGUUCGAGCGUCAUUUUGUACCCUCAAGCACUGCUUGGUGUUGGGCGUUUGUCCUGCAAAGGACUCGCCUGAAAGCGAUUGGCGGCCAACGUACUGGUGGUAGAGCGCAGCACAAUUUGCGUCUCUCCCCUCUGCGUCGGCGUCCAUGAAGCCUUUUUUCAACGUUUGACCUCGGAUCAGGUAGGGAUACCCGCUGAACUUAAGCAUA
rnacentral:rRNA from 1 species